rnacentral:lncRNA from 1 species
CCAUCAAAACAAUAUAUUCACUAACACUUAGAGUUUAUUUAUACUUUCAUUAAGUAUAACAUAAGAUUUUAUGGUAUCCACUAGUGUAUAUAUUUUAAAUUGAAGAUCGAAUUCAUUCAUUGUAUUCAUAUAGGGUCAAGGAGUGUAGCUGUAAAAAAUCAUUAAAAUCGGAGUUACAAUAACCGUUAAAUCGUAAUUUUUCGUUUAUAACCGUCGAAAAGUUUUGUCCCGUUACUUGAUCUUUGAAUGUUUGUUUUUUGCGAUCUCAAAACAUAUAUAAACAAGUUUGAUGGUUGGAUCGUUGAAAUUAGUUUCGUAGGAUGUGUAUCCCAUCAAAACAAUAGAUUCACUAACACUUAGAGUUUAUUUAUACUUUCAUUAAGUAUUACAUAAGAUUUUGUCGUAUCUACUAGUGUAAAUAUUUUAAAUUGAAGAUUGAAUUCAUUCAUUGUAUUCAUAUAGGGUCAAGGAGUGUAGCUCUAAAAAAUAAUCAAAAUCGGAGUUACAAUAACCGUUAAAUCGUGAUUUUUCGCUUAUAACCGUUGAAAAGUUUUGUCCCGUUACUUGAUCUUUAAUGUUUGUUUUUUGCGAUUUUUGGUGUUUGCAAUCUCGAAGCAUAUACAAACAAGUUUGGUGGUUGGAUCGUUGAAAUUAGUUUCGUAGGAUGCGUAUCCCAUCAAAACGAUAAAUUCACUAACACUUAGAGUUUAUUUAUACUUUCAUUAAGUAUAACAUAAGAUUUUGUGGUAUUCAUUAGUGUAAAUAUUUUAAAUUGAAGAUUGAAUUCAUUCAUUAUAUAUGCUCUAAACAUUCAUUGUAUAUGCUCUAAGUGUAAAUAUUUUAAAUUGAAGAUCGAAUUCAUUCAUAAACUCUAAGUGUUUGUUGAAUCUAUAAUUUUGAAGGGAUACACCUUCUGCAAAACUAGUUUCAAAGAUCCAACCGUCAAACUUGUUUGUAUAUGCUUCAAGAUCGCAUACGUAAAAAAUCACAAAAAACAGACUUUCAGAUAUUAGGUAAUGGGACAAAAUCUUUCGACGGUUAUAAACGAAAACUCACGAUUUAACGGUUAUUUUAACUCCAAUUUUGCUAAUUUUUU